rnacentral:tRNA from 1 species
CAAAUUAAAGCUUAUUUUAAAGUAUUUCAUUUACAUUGAAAAGAUUUUGUUAAAUUCAAAUAAUUUGA